AAUGGAAAUUUCAAUUUUCUGGCUCUACCGUAACAAGACUACAGCAAGAGAUUGGCGUAAGUCAAUUGACAAACCACAAGUGCAAAGAACAACUUGCUGCCACAAGUAAUUUUUACAGAUCGGUGACAUUAAUAACUCCUUCCACACAUAUCCGGAUCACAAUACAUCCAAUUUAAACAGGGGAUGAAUACAACUUUUUUUCGGUUGGACUGGGCGUGCUGGGCUGGGGGCUUUGGUGGU
rnacentral:misc_RNA from 1 species